UGGGGAAUCUUGGACAAUGGGGGCAACCCUGAUCCAGCCAUGCCGCGUGAGUGAUGAAGGCCUUAGGGUCGUAAAGCUCUUUCGCCUGUGAAGAUAAUGACGGUAGCAGGUAAAGAAACCCCGGCUAACUCCGUGCCAGCAGCCGCGGUAAUACGGAGGGGGUUAGCGUUGUUCGGAAUUACUGGGCGUAAAGCGCACGUAGGCGGACCAGAAAGUUGGGGGUGAAAUCCCGGGGGCUCAACCCCGGAACUGCCUCCAAAACUAUUGGUCUAGAGUUCGAGAGAGGUGAGUGGAAUUCCAAGUGUAGAGGUGAAAUUCGUAGAUAUUUGGAGGAACACCAGUGGCGAAGGCGGCUCACUGGCUCGAUACUGACGCUGAGGUGCGAAAGUGUGGGGAGCAAACAGGAUUAGAUACCCUGGUAGUCCACACCGUAAAACGAUGAAUGCCAGUCGUCGGGUAGCAUGCUAUUCGGUGACACACCUAACGGA
rnacentral:rRNA from 1 species